ensembl:lncRNA
UGACUUUUUAGCUUUUAAUUACUUUUAGUGUCGUAUUUAAAUGAUUUUCCUGCCUUUUAACAGGCUGUUCUGCUCCUGAAAUAAAUGGGGGAUGUGGGUGGGGAAUUAAUUGUAAAGAAAAUAGAAUUAUGUGGGUACGUGGCUGGUGACAGGUAAAGGGCAGAUUUAUCGAGGUUGAAUCCUAGCUUUUCUGCCUCCGAGCCCAGUAACCUCCAAGACGCUAAGCCUACCCGGAAAAUGGGGUUAAUAGCGGUACCUACCUCACAGGGCUGCUGCCAUAACUCACGUGAGGUUCCCAGCACAUUAUUGGGCAUCUGAUGAAUGCUCAGUUAGUAGUUUUAAUAUUAUUAACAACACUGUUUUAUUAUUUAUAAGAAAAAUGAGUCUACUAGAAAAAUCAAUCUCCUCAUUUCAUGGCUUUCCUCUGUUUUUGACUCAAACUGUUACUUUCUUGGUUGCGCAUCAGAACCAGUGCGCUAGGGGACCCCUGGUGGCUCAGGGCGUGACCCCGGGGUCCUGGGAUUGAGUCCCGCGUCGGGCUCCCCGCAGGGAGCCUGCUUCUCCCUCUGCCUCUGUGUCUCUCAUGGAUAAAUAAAAUCUUAAAAAAAAAGAAAAGAACGAGUGGGUUAGUUUUUAAAUGACUCUUUGCUGUUUUCACAAAUUCAGAAAUGCAUACAAGUCUGCAAAACUUGUGCCUACGCUAGGAAUGUUCUGUUGAGCGUGAGGCCGGCCCCUCCCAGUUCCUCUGCCAUUGGGAGCUCGGCUCCGUGGGUGCCGGGUCCCCCCAAGGGUCUUCCGAGAGGGGGUAACAGGGUUUUGAAAAUGCGAGGUGGUGUUCGUUAAAGCAAGCUCCAGCCUAUGAGGGCUGCGAUGGGGACCGUGGCCCCUUCCCCGCCGCAGGAUGUCCUGUGCGCUGCGACCGCGAGCGUCCUGGGUGGGGCGAGGGGGCCCGAGGCCGGGCUGCGGGCGCGCGGGUUCCCCGACGGCCCCGGGGUUCUUGUGGGCAAAGUCGGGCCGGGCGCGGGUCGGAGGGGACCAGGCCGCUGCCCUGCAGGUGGAGGCCCCGCCGCCAGCGCCCCCCCGACUCGGCCGCAGGAUCGUUCCGGAGAGGAAAGCGGGUCCCGGCCCAGCGUUGGGAGACGCGUGUGCCCCGCGCCCCGGAGGUGCAGGUUGUGGAAUUAGCAAGUGGAGAACCAGUUGGAAGCCGACCUUCUUCUCAACGUCCUUUGAAUGCAACGCUGAUUUGGAGACCAAGGCUCGAUGGCUACGCGGGCUUACUCUUCUGACCCAGCCCCAGAGGACAUGGGAAGAGCACAAACGGUCUAAUGAACAACAGUUUCAGACACAAGCUGACCAACCGUCCUGAUGAAGUGACAGGAAGUCCACCUUGGGUUUUCCAGGUCAGAAAUAUGUGAUGCUACACAACUGCGGCACUUAGGUGACAUUUAGGAUUAGCUAAAAAACUGUUGAAAUCCUUACAUUUUUUUCCCUGCUUAAAAAAAAAAAAUCCGGAAAACAUCAAACUUUUUCUGGAAGUUGAAGUAAGGAAAUUAAUGUCAGUGACAGAAAUACAGCGAAUCUAAUUAGAAGUCCCCGGGCAGCAGCUCAUUAGUGUGGUUAGUUAGUAAAUGAAAUUUCAGCUGCAGUGAAUUAGACUAUGUGUCUUCGGUUAUUUUUUUCUAAAAAGAAUUACAAAACGUCUACAACUGNUUUUUGUUAGGGGUUUUUUUUUUUUUUUUUUUUUUUUUUUGCAAACAAAAAAUAUUUAGGGUCUUUUGUCACAAGGAAAGAAAUUGCCAUUUGGGGACAGAUUUUCUGAAAUGUCUGUAUGUUAAGCGUGGGCCAGAGAAACAAAAGGCAUUUUCUCCGGUGACGGGAGAGGCUUGCAUUUGUUUCUUAAGCUGCUCAGCUUCACGUGUGUCUUUUGUCAGACCCUUUAGUUAGUUAGUUAGUUUGUUUUACCCAUUUGUACUUAGUGAUUGGAUUUCUCUAAAAAAAAUAAAAAAAAAUCUCAGCCAGGCUGAACA